rnacentral:rRNA from 1 species
GACGAACGCUGGCGGCGUGCUUAACACAUGCAAGUCGAACGGAAAGGCCCUGCUUUUGUGGGGUGCUCGAGUGGCGAACGGGUGAGUAACACGUGAGUAACCUGCCCUUGACUUUGGGAUAACUUCAGGAAACUGGGGCUAAUACCGGAUAGGAGCUCCUGCUGCAUGGUGGGGGUUGGAAAGUUUCGGCGGUUGGGGAUGGACUCGCGGCUUAUCAGCUUGUUGGUGGGGUAGUGGCUUACCAAGGCUUUGACGGGUAGCCGGCCUGGGAGGGUGACCGGCCACAUGGGAAAGGAGAAAGGGCCGAGCGUCGUCCGGGGGGGAGCGGUGGGGAAGUUGGCCAAGGGGGCGGAGGCCUGAUGCGGCAACCCGCGGUGCGGGAUGGCGGCCUUCGGGUUGGAAACCGAUUUCGCCUGGGACGAAGCGUGAGUGACGGAAAUGGGAAAAGAAGCACCGGUUAAUUAGGG